rnacentral:lncRNA from 1 species
GCAGAUAGGACCUUGACUUCCAAAUUAAUAUUUGCCUUGUAAGACUCAGAAACAGCUCCAUCAGGGGAGACCGAGGGACGUGAUGGUGAAUGGAGAGGGUCUUAGUUCAGCUUUCACUUCCUCUUGGAUCCUUCUAGUGACUAUGAUAAAAUCAUCAUAGAUUUUAGACUGAUAAGUUCCCAGCACCCUCAAAAAUGCAAAGGCCAGGAGCAGAGCAGGGAGGGCUCUGCUAUACCCCAGCCUGGAUUUCAUGUUGUCACUAAGUCCAGAUGGGUGUAUGUAAACUGGCAGGAGUCCUGGAAUGUGAGCAGGUAGGC